AAAGUGGGCCAUGCUGCCUGUCGGUGUCUGGAGCAGGAGCGGGAGCAGCAGCGAGGGACCCGGAAACAGAGCAUGACAGCACGCAAAGGAAUCCGUCCACCGUACGACUAUAUCCUCUGUAACUGACACCGAGAGAUAACCAGCCUCCUCUCCUCCUCCACGUUUCGACCUAAAUCUACCUCAUUUACUGCCUCACCUAAUCCUGGGAUAUACCUUUCAGUCUAACACCAGGGGUCAUUGACUUUACGCCAGCCUGGGUUAAACUGCUUCCCGGGUGUUUUCAGUUCCCUUACACUUUUUUCACACUCCGUGCACACGGCGAGGGUAAUGGCGAUCAUUCAGGCCACCUGCAAGGAUAAGGCAGUAGUUUGAGGCUUUGGCAUGAGGCAAGCUGCUUGAGCAUCCAACCCCCCCACCACCCCGGACCAUCUGCUUUGACGGCUCACUGACACUGGAUCAGGUCCAAGCCCUUGUUGGUUGGCCUGCAAGAACACUGUAACCUGGAGGAGAGGGAGGUGUGAAAAGUAGAAGUUUCUUAUGUAUUUUUAUUAUUUUCAAACAGCAUAUUCCGGAAUUGUUGAUUUAAGUUUUAGGUGAGUUAGUUCUGUUUGUGUUUCAUUCAUGGUGAAUGAUUAACAGAUCAGCCAUAAAGGUGUCACCCUCCCUUGGAGAGGAGGGAGAGGGUCACUGGGUCAUGCUUGUGGCGUCUGUAUCUUAUUUUUAGUGCUGUAAAUGUGUCUUAAACACAAAAAGAUAAAGAAACCACAAGCAGACGGACAUGUUCUUGUUUUUUGCACGUAAAAAACAAUCUAUAAACUUCCAUUCCCUUUAAAGUCAUGUCAAUAUCAUCCUUUUUUGUAUUAAUUCCCUGUCUGCUCUUUACACAAAUCAAUCCUCUACAGGAUAUUUCUGUUUGAUUGCUCAUAGACUGUGAAUUUCUAAACACAAUAAUCAUAUUACAACAUUAUCAUUUCUUA